UACGAAGGGGGCUAGCGUUGUUCGGAAUUACUGGGCGUAAAGGGCGCGUAGGCGGUACUUCAAGUCAGGCGUGAAAGCCCGGGGCUCAACUCCGGAAUUGCCUUUAAGACUGCAUCGCUAGAAUUGUGGAGAGGUAAGUGGAAUUCCGAGUGUAGAGGUGAAAUUCGUAGAUAUUCGGAAGAACACCAGUGGCGAAGGCGACUUACUGGACACAUAUUGACGCUGAGGUGCGAAAGCGUGGGGAGCAACAGG
rnacentral:rRNA from 1 species